AUUGAACGCUGGCGGCGUGCUUAACACAUGCAAGUCGAUCGGUAACAGGUGUAGCAAUACAUGCUGACGAGAGGCGGACGGGUGAGUAAUGCUUGGGAAUCUGCCUAUUAGUGGGGGACAACCCGGGGAAACUCGGGCUAAUACCGCAUACGCUCUACGGAGGAAAGCCGGGGACCGCAAGGCCUGGCGCUAAUAGAUGAGCCCAAGUCGGAUUAGCUAGUUGGUAGGGAACGGCCUACCAAGGCGACAAUCCGUAGCUGGUCUGAGAGGACGACCAGCCACACCGGAACUGAGACACGGUCCGGACUCCUACGGGAGGCAGCAGUGGGGAAUAUUGGACAAUGGGGGCAACCCUGAUCCAGCGACGCCGCGUGGGUGAAGAAGGCCUGCGGGUUGUAAAGCCCUUUCGGUGGGGAAGAAAAGUCUCGACC
rnacentral:rRNA from 1 species